GUGGGCCUGGCCACCUACAGCUACCGCAGCCUGCCCUGGCUGCUCCUCAACCGCUCCAGCGACCUGCCCGCCGUGCUGGAGCAGAUCCGCACCAUGCGCUACGAGGAGCCCAGCGGCAACGCCAUCGGUGAGGGGAACGAGCUGGGACCUGACCAGAGGGACCCUUGGGACCUUCCUAACACCCCCACCAUCCUUUUUUUUAUUUUUUUUUUUGUUUUUUUUCCCCCAGGGGCAGCCAUCACCUUCGCCAGAACCUACCUGCUGAGCCCCGGUGCUGGGCGCCGGACCCGGCGUGCCGGCGGUGCUGGUGGUCCUGGCCGACGGCCCCUCGGGGGACGAUGCCAUCGCCGCGGCCAGGGACAGUCAAGGCUGCAGGGUGAGGGGGACGGGGUGCCCUCAGGACGGGGUCCCCACGGGAUGAGGACCCCCAGGGUGCUCCAGGUUCGGGGUGCUGAGGGUGCUGCUGGUGCAGGGGUGCGGGUGCUGGCGGUGGGCUUGGAGGGGGCGGACCGGGAGCAGCUGCGGCGCGUGGUGACGGCCGAGGACCCCCGCUUCGUCUUCCCCCGCCGUGGCGCACUGCAGGAGCUGGAGGGGGAGCUCACCGACGACCUCUGCACCAUCAUCUCCACCAGGCCGGAGCCGGAGCCAAAGCCCUGCGCCGUGCCGUGCCCCAAGGUGAGCGGCCCCUGUGCCAGGGGGGGCUGAGUGGGCACCGGGGGCUCCUCGUCUUGCCCACGCAGUGGGGCUGGCAGAGGGGUGCAGCCCCUCACCCCUUUACUCUGUCCCCUUGCAGGGCGAUAAAGGGGACCCUGGAGAGGCGGUAAGUGUUUCGGGGUACCCCCCUGCAGCUGGGGGGGGCUUCGUGCCCCCAAAUUCUGCCCGUGACAGCCCGCAGGAGGAUGCUGAUCGCUGGAUUUGUCUCCACAGGGGCGGCCGGGGCAGCCAGGCCCUCCUGGAGAGCCGGUAAUGUCCUGCGUGGGGGUGCAGGGGGUCCACAGCAGAGGGGACAAGUGCCCCUCGGCCACCACCUGCCACCAAGCCUGUCUCCUCUGCUGUCCCAGGGCCGCCACGGGCUGCCGGGCCCCCCGGGACCUGUAGGACCACGGGGACCACCAGGAGAGAGCGUCGAGCAGCCAGGAAAGAAGGGGGACAGAGUGAGUGACCCCAUUAAUCCCCAAAGCCUGGGGUCCCCAAACACAGGG
rnacentral:lncRNA from 1 species